rfam:Lachnobacterium bovis DSM 14045 genome assembly, contig: IE72DRAFT_scaffold00018.18
GGCAGAGUAGAACUUUAUGCGUCAAGUGCCUUCUGAACAGGGAGUUGUCAGUUGGACGAAGAAGAAAUUCGCGGUAUAAGGUUCGCAUCCCGCUGCU